CACUCUUCUCCCUUGCUCUCCAGGUUCCAGUGACUCUGCUGUCCACUACACCCCACCACUGCAGCCCAUCACUCAAGAGUGCCACAGCCUGUGGCAGGGACUGUCUUUCGGGGAUGAAGUUUCCACUGCUUGAAAGCAGUCUUGAGUGGUGGGCGUGACUGCCCACUCCGUCUUCCAGAUUUGGAAGCAGAUGGAGAGCCAAGGAGCUUUGUUCUGCCCCAUUUUCAGCUUGGAGCUGGGCCCCGCCUGCCCUCCCAGGACAGAUGGUGUACCGCAAGGAUGAAGGUGGGGUGGGGACCGGACUCUGGAGACAACUUAGACUUUCCUUGUCAACACCUGGCCUUUAGGGCAUGGCGGUGGAAGACUCAUUUAUUCACUCAUUCAUUCAUUCAUCCGAAACUUUUUUUGUUGUGGUAAAUUACACAUAACAUAAAAUUCACCGUCUUAACCAUUUUAAAGUGUGCAAUUCAGUGGCAUUUAGUACAUUUACAAUGUCGUGCAGCCAUCACCACUGUCUAGUUCCAGAAUAUCUUCCUCCCCAGAGGAAACCCUGUAUCUGUGAAGUAGUCACUCCCCAUUCCCCUCUCCUCCCAGGGCCUGGCAACCACUACUUUACUUUUUGUCCCUAUGGACUUGCCUGUCCUGGAUAUUUUAUAUAAGUGGAAUCAUACAACAUGUGGCCUUCUGCAUCUGGCUUCUUUUACAGCAUAAUUCUUGUCAUAGCAUGUAUCAGUACUUCAUUCCUUUUCAUGACUAAAUAAUACUUCAUUGUAUGGAAGUACCAGAUUUUGUUUGUCCAUUCACUGUUUGAUGGACAUUUUGGGUUGUUUCCACCUUUUGGCUGUUAUGAAUAAUGCCGCUAUGAGCUUUCAUGUGCAAGUUUUUGUUUGAACACUUGUUUUCCUUUCUCUUGGGUCUAUAUUUAGGGGUGGCAUUGAUGGCUUUUGUGUGAACUAUACAUUUAACAUAUGAGGAACCGCCACACUGUUUUCCAAAGUGGCUGCAUCAUUUUACAUUCCCACCAGCAAUGAGGGCUCUAAUUUUUCUACAUCCUCGCCAACACUUGUUAUUUUUUCUUUUCUUUCUUUUUUUUGUUAUGUCGCCCAGGCUGGAGUGCAGUGACUACUCACAGGUGAGAUUAUGGCAUACUGAAGUCUUGAACUCCUGGGUUCAAGCAAUCCUCCUGCCUCAGCCUCCCAAGUAGCUGGGACUGCAGGCCUGCAGCACCACACCUGGCUACUUGGUGUCUUUUUGAUGAUAGCCAUCCUAGUAAUGUGAAGUGUUAUCAUUGUAGUUGUUUGAUACAUACUUUUGACCUUUACUGUGUUCCAGGCACCACGGUAGUCACUAGGAAGAUGGCAGAGAACAAAAUAGACAAAGCCCUUCCCUUCUGGAAGUUCUAUUCUAGUGAGAAAUGCUCUAGUAGAGUGGAGUUAAGAGGCCAGGCAGCAGGGACAUGAAUACAACUCGCUGCAGCUGGGAAAGCCGAAAGGCGUAUGCUUUAGGCUCUGCUAUUUCUCUUCAUCCUGGAAGAAUGGAGCAGAGUUUACAAACUCAAAGUCGAUGUACAGGACACGGCCAGAGUGAUGAGUGUGCACGCAGCAUGUGUGCAUGGUUGGAUUGGAGGGCGCCAGCCUUGCCUCAAGGGCAGAUGCUCCAUAGUACCGGCUUCUUACUACUGACUG
rnacentral:lncRNA from 10 species